AUACUUAUCUGGCAGGGGAGAUACCAUGAUCACGAAGGUGGUUUUCCCAAGGUGAGGCUUAUCCAUUGCACUCUGGAUGUGCUGACCCCUGCGGUUUCCCCAAAUGUGGGAAACUUGACUGCAUAAUUUGUGGUAGUGGGGGACUGCAUUCUCAAA
rnacentral:snRNA from 1 species